rnacentral:rRNA from 1 species
AGUGAACGCUGGCGGUAGGCCUAACACAUGCAAGUCGAACGGCAGCACAGUAAGAGCUUGCUCUUACGGGUGGCGAGUGGCGGACGGGUGAGGAAUACAUCGGAAUCUACUUUUUCGUGGGGGAUAACGUAGGGAAACUUACGCUAAUACCGCAUACGACCUACGGGUGAAAGCAGGGGAUCUUCGGACCUUGCGCGAUUGAAUGAGCCGAUGUCGGAUUAGCUAGUUGGCGGGGUAAAGGCCCACCAAGGCGACGAUCCGUAGCUGGUCUGAGAGGAUGAACAGCCAAACUGGAACUGAGACACGGUCCAAAACCCUACGGGAGGCAGCAGUGGGGAAUAUUGGACAAUGGGCGCAAGCCUGAUCCAGCCAUACCGCGUGGGUGAAGAAGGCCUUCGGGUUGUAAAGCCCUUUUGUUGGGAAAGAAAAGCAGCAGGUUAAUACCCCGCUGUUCUGACGGUACCCAAAGAAUAAGCACCGGCUAACUUCGUG